ensembl:lncRNA
CGCUGUUGCUACCGAACUUGCAACAUUGCAUCAACAAGACUAUUCCUGGCCCCCAGAGUUUCUGCGCCAGUGAGCUCGGAACAGAAAGAUGUUUUUUUUACAACGUUUUUUAUGACUGGAUAUAUGGGAUCAUCAGAUCAUGAUAUUUUGCUCUUUCACAGGGCUUAGUGAUUAUCGAGGCCGGGAGUGUUGGAAAGAUUUUUUUAAAUACAGAGGAACUAUCGUUCGCAACGGAUGUUAAAAAAGCAGACUUCAUUGACUUGUGUGAGGCGAAGAAAAAAUGAGCGGUGUACGUGGUGAGUUAAGACAAUCAGAAAUCAGACAUUGCCAAAUGGGUACUUUCCUACAUAUGCAUGCAUUCUGGAGAGAGACGCACCGUGUCUUCGCCCCCCACCCCCUUCUUCUUGAUGUAACAUUUUAAAUUUUACCCAUGAUACAUUAUCUUCACACAUAUUUUAGACGCUUUUCACUGAGAGCCGCAACUCAGUCAGCUAGACCUAUUGCCACACGCACUACUCAAAUCGCGGGAAUCCCAAACACACUGGUGACUUGAAACAAUCCCGAUCCCCACAUUUUUAUCCCCCAAAUAUAAAAUAACUAAAAAUAAAUGAUAUAGGUAUAUAUUUAUAUAUUAUAUAUAUUUUUUGGGAGGGGCUUCCGCAUGUUAUUUUGGCAUUAAUACAUAUCACAUAUCAGUUUGCAAACAAUGUACAAAAAAAUACAUAUCAUUGAGUUAAUAAAGCACGUCUCAUUUUUUGUUUUCUUGAGGAAGGCAGCUCCAAAAUGCAGGUGUUUCAGCCUAGCUCCGUGCUUUCAGUGUUGGUUUGGCAAGACAGCAGAAAAUAGGAGCAUUGCACCGUGAUUGGCUCAGUGUUCUGUCACUCAUGGGGAAACUACGUCAUCGCCAAGUCUAAGUCCUUAGUAAGUGUAGACAUCGGAUAUCCAAUUGUUAUUGGGGAGGGGAAAAAAAGGGGUAAAAUUCAAAAAGCAAAAAAAAAAGUGUAGACAUUGGAAAAGUAAGCCCUUUGGGUCCUGCCAUAGAGUUCCAUUACAAGUGCCCUUCCAAGCGGGCUCAAGGUCAUUGGCCACAGAUACAAUUAUGUUAAAUCUUUUAUAUGUAUAGUAGCUUUGAUUGGUCAACAUCUUACUUUCAAAAUUUUAGCAAGCAGUCAUCAUUAAUCAAGUCAACAAUCUUCUGGCAAAUCCUUUUUAAUCCUUGUCAUAUGAAGAGAAAUAAUGAAGAGAACUAAUAGAUUAAAUGUAUCGGUGCUCAUCGGCCAUUGGACAUAAACAUUACACAACAAGUUGGAAAUCGCAAAUUCAACAAUGAGUGGUUUGGAAGGAAUCGGUGACCGUGGCAAACUGCAAGCAAUUGCAACUGGGAAGUGGGGAAUAAACAAGCUCCGACUGGGAAAAUACGUUUUGAACGGUCAUCCAACUUGGAAUAGUAAAUCCGGCUUCUUUCUGUUUGAUGACAAAAUUUGCCGAAGACCUUCCAGUUCAAGUGGGCACAUCACAACAAGGGGUUCUGCCAUGUUCCAAGACGGAGGGGAGGAGACAAGAUGACGACCAGUUUGAGCAAAAUUCAAGUCCCACUUCCGAGACUGGCUGCCUGUCGACAGGAAGAACUAGCAGCAGCACCUUCUGUCUCUUGAUUUAGCCUCUUCCCUCAUCCUUUAGUUAUUUCUCUACCCUCACUCCAGACAAAAUUCUGCAUCUAGUGGAGACCUCCUCCCAUUCCUUACCGCUCUCAUCAACCCCUCUGAUGCUAAAAAUUACAGACCGGUAUCCCUUUUUCCUCUUCUAUGUCUUCCAUUAACAUUAUUGCAUGGAUGUUCAAACAUUUAACUUAAAUCAAUCAAUAACUGUAUCUUUACAUACCUGAUCUACCUGUAACCUGUGUGCUUGCUGGUUUACGUCUCUGUCUCCUCCCCUAUUCUGUUAAACUCUGCUCCUUUUCUCUAAGACCUAUGGGUUCUGUCUAACACCCAGACGUGGAUCCACCUGAUGUCCUAACCACCCUCCAACUUUUCAUUGAAUCUACAGCUGUCAUGUUGUCAUUAUCUGCUUUGAACAUUUUGCUUGCCGUACUGAGCAUGUAUUAUGUGAGAUACACCAUAAACACUAGAACUGCAAGCACUCUGAACAAAGAGAGCAGCAGUGCCUGGACUUCGCAUUGUCCCUCUUCGAGUCUCCGUUCUCAGACUGGCUGCCUGUUGAGAACAAGUGACAGACAGUAUACAGUAUAUUCAACCACAAGGGUGUACUAAUGAGCUAUGCGAGAUAGAAAAUAAAUAAUCAUAAUAGAGGACUACUGAAAUAACAUCAUAUCAGUGUAUACAAGUCAAUGGGAGAAAAGCUAAAAGUAAAAACAUGCCAACCAGACAAGCCAGUGUAUGAAUCAAAUGGAUUUCCAUAUGAAUGAACUGGGAAUUAGCGGACUUUGUCAUCUGUAAGGUAAGGGACAUCAAUGUGUUCAUGUUUUCAUCUUAUUGGCUAAAAUAAACUAUUUUAAGCUACAAGUUUGUCGGGGAAAUCAGCUUUGUUCACA